UGCAGGUGUUAUAUAAAAAGAAAGAAUAAAACUUGUCUGCUCGAAGUAAAGAGGGGACUAAGAGUAUGGAGAUAUGCUAAGAUCCGCACGCAGGCUUUUGCGUUUAUAGGACACUCAAAGACUCAUGCAGGUUGCCAGGUUGAGGGCACGCAACAGGAACGGGGAAACUGACAAUGGCAAGCGACGAGUCUUACACUAUGUGGAUCUUAAUCAAUACAUUUCUCUGACAACACUUCUAACCAAACGAAGAGCCAAACAACAAUGAUGAUGAUGGUUAUGACGUACAUUGUUGAACCAUUAGUGGAAUACCUACUCAAGGUUCAGGCAGGGAGACGGGCUGAAAACAAGAGAAAUUGGUUUGGGCCCCCGGGAGCUGAAUCGAUGUCUCCUGUCAUGAAGCAUGUUUUCUCAAGUCUUCCUGAAAUGGGCCCAAGGAGGUUCGCAGCUGUGACAAAAAUCAAAAUCCAUUUUCUGUGGCCAAAUGUAAUGAGGACCAAAUGGUGGAUGUUCCAUUCAUCUCUCCAGCCUGUCUGAGCACUCUUAGGCCACAGGCAGCAAGGCUUGUGAAGGCAGAGCCUGAGAUUGGGCCGCACAGGGCGCCUCAGUACAGGGACCGGCACUCUCUGGGGGUCGUGUGUAGAGGGGCCAUCAUUGCUGCUCUGGCAUUUUUCCUCAAGUAUCCCUAAGCCCGAUAAAUGUGGAACAGCAUCGACUCGAGAGGCAGUGCCCCAGCAAUAAACUAUGGCCGACUCUGUUCCAAAAGGGAAGGUCUGUGGCCAAUGGCUGAUUAUGUCCACUCAGCACAUUGUCAGAGCAGAGCCGACAGUGACCCUUCCACUCUGUCAUUAAGCCUUUUAGGGGUGAAAAUAUGGGUUGUUCUGAGUGGGAGGAGAGCACUCGUUACCUGUUAUUAUCAGUUUUACCCUGACAACACCCUGGUCUCUAACUUUCACCAGAAAGAUGGAAAAAUUUAGCCUUUUCAGAGGUCCCUGUUGAGAAAAGAACUAUUGACUGAAGGUCACUGUCCUCACUAUUGAAAUAUAAGGGCCCUUUCACACUGGACACCUCUUGCGUUCAAAAACAGGUAGACAUUGUGCUGCGAAAUGGAACAAAAUGAAGGUGUCUCAAGGCAGCGCUUUUUAAAAGUUGAACUGUUUUGAACUUUAUACACCAAAGACAUCUGUUUGGCUCAUGUUUACUUAGAAAAACAAUAAAGAUGGAUGUCAUAAUGCAUCUGUGUGAACAAUUGCUAAGUCCUAAGUGCUUCUGUAUUAAGUAGUUCAUAUUAUUUUAAUCUAGCAAAUAUUUUAAGUCAUUAUCAUAUGGGUAUAUUAUGUAUAGAAUUAAGGAACAGUUUAAUUAAAACACCAGUAUUACAAUUACAGUUUUCAAAUAUCUUUUCGGCUUUUAAAACAUACUUGAACAGGUGUUGGGAGCUAUCCUCUGCCAUAAACACUUUAAUUGAGUUA